ensembl:misc_RNA
UUGACAGCACCAGACACCCGAGCUUUCACAUCUUUCUGGUAAAACAACAGCCCAGGAAGUGCAAACUUCCCCAAACUGUCCUGCCAAUAGGCCUUUCUGACCUAAAGGGGGAUCACCUUUAUGGUGACAGGAUAAUUUGAUCUCUAUGCCAUCUAAUCCUUAUUUUCU